GGAUCAUUAGCGAGUUAAUCAUAAACUCCAAAACCCCUGUGAACUUACCUAUGUUGCCUCGGCAGGUCGUGGUGUGUAGCGGUGACCACUGGGUCGCUUGCCUCGCACCACGCUGAAAAGACCUGUCAAAGGACCCCUAAACUCUGUUUUUACAACUGUAUCUCUGAGUCUAUUAUACAAAUAAGUUAAAACUUUCAACAACGGAUCUCUUGGCUCUGGCAUCGAUGAAGAACGCAGCGAAAUGCGAUAAGUAAUGUGAAUUGCAGAAUUCAGUGAAUCAUCGAAUCUUUGAACGCACAUUGCGCCUGAUAGUAUUCUGUCAGGCAUGCCUGUUCGAGCGUCAUUUCAACCCCCAAGCCCUAUUUGCUUGACGUUGGGAGUUUACGGAGACGUAAUUCCUCAAAUAUAGUGGCGGAGCUAGGUCGUGCUCUAAGCGUAGUAACCACAAUUCUCGCUUCUGCAGCCGGCUUAGGUCCUGCCGUAAAACCCCUAUAUUUUUUUAUUGGUUGACCUCGGAUCAGGUAGGAAUACCCGCUGAACUUAAGCAUAUCAAUAAGCGGAGGAAAAGAAACCAACAGGGAUUGCCCUAGUAACGGCGAGUGAAGCGGCAACAGCUCAAAUUUGAAAUCUGGCCCUCGGGUCCGAGUUGUAAUUUGCAGAGGAUGCUUUUGGCGCGGUGCCUUCCGAGUUCCCUGGAACGGGACGCCUUAGAGGGUGAGAGCCCCGUACGGUUGGACACCAAGCCUCUGUAAAGCUCCUUCGACGAGUCGAGUAGUUUGGGAAUGCUGCUCUAAAUGGGAG
rnacentral:rRNA from 1 species